AUUGAACGCUGGCGGAAUGCUUUACACAUGCAAGUCGAACGGCAGCACGGACUUCGGUCUGGUGGCGAGUGGCGAACGGGUGAGUAAUACAGCGGAACGUGCCCAGGCGUGGGGGAUAACGUAGCGAAAGCUACGCUAAUACCGCAUACGAUAUAAGGAUGAAAGCGGGGGAUCGCAAUACCUCGCGAUUGGAACGGCCGAUGGCAGAUUAGGUAGUUGGUAGGGUAAAGGCCUACCAAGCCGACGAUCUGUAGCUGGUCUGAGAGGACGACCAGCCACACUGGGACUGAGACACGGCCCAGACUCCUACGGGAGGCAGCAGUGGGGAAUUUUGGACAAUGGACGCAAGUCUGAUCCAGCCAUUCCGCGUGCAGGAUGAAGGCCCUCGGGUUGUAAACUGCUUUUGUACAGAACGAAAAAGCUCUGGUUAAUACCUGGAGCUCAUGACGGUACUGUAAGAAUAAGCACCGGCUAACUACGUGCCAGCCGCCGCUGUAA
rnacentral:rRNA from 1 species